rnacentral:lncRNA from 1 species
AUGACGUCAUCAAAGACAAAAGUGACGCCUUGUUCUGACAACAUUCGACCAGAACCCAGAUCAUCUCAGAUCUUCACAGAUCAUCUCCACAGAUCAUCACAGAUCAUCAAAGCAUUCCCUUAUUCAACAGAAUCAGACAUGUCUGACCAGAGUAACAGCACCACAGAGGACACUCCCAUGGAUUAUUCUGCUCAAAUGGAAAACCAGCAACUCAGUGAAAACCUACAUGAGGCCAAUGAAAAAGCGUUGGAAUUAGUCAACCCACUCCUUCAAGAUUUACAGGAAAGUAAAAUGCCACUUGUUGGGAAAGCUGAACUGAAGUCAUCAGAGAUAGAAGUUAAAAAACAAGAAGAGCAGAUAGGAAAUUUACCAGAAAAGAAUGAUUUAAACAUUGAGAAAAUCCAGGAGCUCACAGAUAAGCUGACUUUAUCAAAUUCACAGAUCGAAAGCAAGGAUCAGCUGAUUGAACGUUUAGAGGCCAGUAUUGAGUCUAAACGGGAGGUCAUAAAACAACUUGAAUCUGAACUUGAAUCAAAGGUGCAAAGUCACAAAGACGUUGAAACCCUAACUGAUGAAACCUUUGAAGAAAAAUGUGACCAGAAACAAGAAAUACUGAAGGAAAUGAUCAGUUCUCUGGAAGAUGAGUUUAAAAUGUGUGUUCAGACUCACGAGUUCAUGGAGGCUCUGCUCUGCGAAAGUGAACGACAUCUAAAACAUGUUACGUCUCGAAUGGAAGAUCCCAGUUUUUGCUGGACAGAGAGCUGCCUCCCUUUCUUCCACUGGGAUGAUGGCUUCUGCUUUUGUGAAGAACACAGGUAUCCUGCACCUCCUCUUGUUUGGACUCCUUCUACCUUCAGUAUUAGUGUCAGUGGAAGUCCUCGAUUCAGUGAAUACUUCAACUGUUGCACCAACACUGACAUCUUCCUCCAUCACCUCCGUAACCUCCAUCCAGCAAACGCCUACUGACAUGUCCCCACCGUCUUCUGCCACCAGCAGUCCAG